rnacentral:misc_RNA from 1 species
GAUGAAGAACGCAGCGAAAUGCGAUAAGUAGUGUGAAUUGCAGAAUUCAGUGAAUCAUCGAAUCUUUGAACGCACAUUGCGGCCAUAGGUAUUCCUUUGGCCAUGCCUGUUCGAGCGUCAUUUACACCCUCAAGCCUAGCUUGGUGUUGGGCGUCUGUCCCGCCGUUCUCGCGCGCGGACUCGCCUCAAAGUCAUUGGCGGCGGUCGUGCCGGCCCCCUCGCGCAGCACAUUUGCGCUUCUCGGAGGCCCGGCGGAUCCGCGCUCCAGCAAGACCUUUCACGACUUGACCUCGGAUCAGGUAGGGAUACCCGCUGAACUUAAGCAUAUAAUAAGCGGAGGA